rnacentral:lncRNA from 1 species
AUAUUUAAAGGUCAAUGGUGUUGGUUUUGCAUCUGUUAGCCGGCAGCAGCAACUUGUUUUUGUAACUCAAAAUAUGACAUUAGUUUACCAUCAAUAAAAGCAGAAAUAUACUUUAUGAGUGCAACAUUUCAAUUGGAUAUGUUUAAAUUGAUAGUUGUACCUAACAUAUUUUAGCUUAGGCAGCAGCUAUCUAUUAAGUUAUCUAAAUCACUAUUUGAUUGAGCGUUUCUUUUUUAUGGUUUUCACGAAGGGAAU